rnacentral:rRNA from 1 species
UACGGAGGAUCCGAGCGUUAUCCGGAUUUAUUGGGUUUAAAGGGUGCGUAGGCGGCUUAUUAAGUCAGUGGUGAAAGUUUGCAGCUUAACUGUAAAAUUGCCAUUGAUACUGAUGAGCUUGAAUAUAGAUGAGGUAGGCGGAAUGAGUCAAGUAGCGGUGAAAUGCAUAGAUAUGACUCAGAACACCGAUUGCGGAGGCAGCUUACUAAGGUAUAAUUGACGCUGAGGCACGAAAGCGUGGGGAUCGAACAGGAUUAGAAACCCCUGUAGUCC